GAUGAACGCUGGCGGCGUGCUUAACACAUGCAAGUCGAACGGAAAGGCCCAAGCUUGCUUGGGUACUCGAGUGGCGAACGGGUGAGUAACACGUGGGUGAUCUGCCCUGCACUUCGGGAUAAGCCUGGAAACUGGGUCUAAUACCGGAUAGGACCACUUCUUGGAUGUUGUGGUGGAAAGUUUUUUCGGUGUGGGAUGAGCUCGCGGCCUAUCAGCUUGUUGGUGGGGUAAUGGCCUACCAAGGCGUCGACGGGUAGCCGGCCUGAGAGGGUGUACGGCCACAUUGGGACUGAGAUACGGCCCAGACUCCUACGGGAGGCAGCAGUGGGGAAUAUUGCACAAUGGGCGCAAGCCUGAUGCAGCGACGCCGCGUGGGGGAUGACGGCCUUCGGGUUGUAAACUCCUUUCGCUAGGGACGAAGCGUUUUGUGACGGUACCUGGAGAAGAAGCACCGGCUAACUACGUG
rnacentral:rRNA from 1 species